rnacentral:rRNA from 1 species
AUUGAACGCUGGCGGCAGGCCUAACACAUGCAAGUCGAACGAGUGGCGGACGGGUGAGUAAUGUCUGGGAAACUGCCUGAUGGAGGGGGAUAACUACUGGAAACGGUAGCUAAUACCGCAUACCAUCAGAUGUGCCCAGCUGGGAUUAGCUUGUUGGUGGGGUAACGGCUCACCAAGGCGACGAUCCCUAGCUGGUCUGAGAGGAUGACCUGCAACACGGGAACGGAGACAGGGUCCAGAUUCCUACGGGAGGCAGCAUGGGGGAAUAUUGGACAAUGGGCGCAAGCCUGAUGCAGCCAGGCCGCGUUGAUGAAGAGGGCCUUCGGGUUGUAAAGUACUUUCAGCGGGGAGGCGGUACCCGCAGAAGAAGCACCGGCUAACUCCGUGCCAGCCGCCGCGGUAAUUC